GUGUCAUAGGAAAGAUCAGGACAGCCCUCUUCUUAACAGGGAUGGAAGAGGCUCUUGUAGCCCAUACAGCACAUACACAGUUAAGGCAUUGCUGCCUGCUCGUGGUUUCUGUUUUCA
rnacentral:ncRNA from 1 species